rnacentral:rRNA from 1 species
UACGUAGGGGGCGAGCGUUGUCCGGAUUUAUUGGGCGUAAAGAGCGUGUAGGCGGCCAGGUAGGUCUGCUGUGAAAACUCGAGGCUCAACCUCGAGACGUCGGCGGAAACCAUCUGGCUAGAGUCCGGAAGAGGAGAGUGGAAUUCCUAGUGUAGCGGUGAAAUGCGUAGAGAUUAGGAAGAACACCAGUGGCGAAGGCGACUUACUGGACUGUAACUGACGCUGAGGCAUGAAAGCGUGGGGAGCAAACAGG